rnacentral:lncRNA from 1 species
AGUUGAGGCUCUAUCAAGCUACACUAAGCUAAACCUAGGAAAGCAAUAAAGAAAUGCAAAUAAAUAAAGAUAAAUAAAAGACUUCAUUUUCAUUCAUUGAUUAAAAUAUGAAGGAACAUUACACAUAUAUAUAAGACUCUAAUGGGCCUAAGGGAUAAAGCCCAACCAAACAAAACUUAAUAACAUAAAUGACCAACUAAUAAUAUAAAUAUUAUGUCUCAUUAAUAUCCAAUUAUUUAAUUAACUACUACUUAUAAUUAUUUAACUAACGACCUCCUAAUCUUCUAUCAUUGCCGCCGGGUUCACUUGAACCUUGUCCUCAAGGUUCAGAAACAUGAUUGGAUGAAUGUGAAGUGAAGCAGCCCAAGUGAUUUUUGUUUUUGUCCAUUACUCUUAAGCCCAAAUCAAGAAGUCCAUAAAAAAUGUGCACAUAGGAUGUUGCCUUAAUAUAAUGGAUAAUAGCUGGACAUAGAUGCCUCCUACAUCACGUCGGUGUUUGUGGGUUGUUGUGCUAGUAGACAAAAUAAUUUGGACAUGUGGCAAUUUUGUAUUGGAAGGAUUUGUUUAGUGGGUGAUAGGUGGCAUAAGGAGAGAUGUAGUUUGUCCCCUAGUGAAUUGAUANNN